CCUCUGGUGUACCAGUUGUCCUGCCAAGGGCAUGGCUGGGUAGCUAUGUACGGAAUGGAUAAGCGCUGAAAGCAUCUAAGCGCGAAGCCAACUUCAAGAUAAGAUUUCCCACCGCAAGGGUAAGACCCCAGAAAGACUAUCUGGUUGAUAGGUCGAAGGUGUAAGUGCAGCAAUGUAUUUAGCUUAUCGAUACUAAUAGGUCGAGGACUUGACCAA
rnacentral:rRNA from 1 species